rnacentral:rRNA from 1 species
UGGGGAAUAUUGGACAAUGGGCGAAAGCCUGAUCCAGCCAUGCCGCGUGUGUGAAGAAGGUCUUCGGAUUGUAAAGCACUUUAAGUUGGGAGGAAGGGCAUUAACCUAAUACGUUAGUGUUUUGACGUUACCGACAGAAUAAGCACCGGCUAACUCUGUGCCAGCAGCCGCGGUAAUACAGAGGGUGCAAGCGUUAAUCGGAAUUACUGGGCGUAAAGCGCGCGUAGGUGAUUUGUUAAGUUGAAUGUGAAAUCCCCGGGCUCAACCUGGGAACUGCAUUCAAAACUGACUGACUAGAGUAUGGUAGAGGGUGGUGGAAUUUCCUGUGUAGCGGUGAAAUGCGUAGAUAUAGGAAGGAACACCAGUGGCGAAGGCGACCACCUGGACUAAUACUGACACUGAGGUGCGAAAGCGUGGGGAGCAAACA